UACGUAGGGCGCAAGCGUUAUCCGGAAUUAUUGGGCGUAAAGAGCUCGUAGGCGGUUUGUUACGUCGGCUGUGAAAUCCCGAGGCUCAACCUCGGGUCUGCAGUCGAUACGAGCAAACUAGAGUGUUGCAGGGGAGACUGGAAUUCCUGGUGUAGCGGUGAAAUGCGCAGAUAUCAGGAGGAACACCGGUGGCGAAGGCGGGUCUCUGGGCAACAACUGACGCUGAGGAGCGAAAGCGUGGGGAGCGAACAGG
rnacentral:rRNA from 1 species